GGCAUGUUCCGGUUACGGAGCUCCAUUUUAAUGUGCAGUGAAAUGUAACAACAAGUCAGAGAAAACAAAUGAUAUGAUGGAAUGGGCUAGUCUGUUGUGACCGGGCAAUGAUAUCACCACAGCAUUUAGACCGGAUCUGAUUCACUGAGAGACUUGAGCCAAUAAAACUCAUCUUCUCUGCUUGCCCCUCAACUAAAAUACCAGUCCAUCGCCACAAAUAUUUACAGAACAGCCAGCCCUGCUGAUGGGCUGCUACUCAAGUGUACGUUUUUGUCACUUCCCCCACGUUGAACUGCCCGCUGCCUGGUGUUCGGUAUGUGUGGAACAGCAGGCCUGCCAGGGUUCCACUGAGCAAGUGUGCAUGUGCUCUAUAUAGUGAGGACAGCGUGGGAUGAGGAGCAGACAUGACCGGCCCUGGACACCACAGUGACUUCAGUACUUUGGAUAGUGACUUUCUAAAAAAACAUAGAAAAACAACCACUUAUUUUGGAAGAAUACAAAAUCUUAUGAAUCAGAUUUAACGCUCCAACAAAAAACAAGACAUUCUCUAAAAGCUCUCUGCUAAGGCAACAUUCUCGUAAAAGAUACACCGGGGUAUGAGAUCUUUCAUCGGAUUCUUAAUAAGCAAAUUUGUUGUCAAACUUGAAAGUCUUGUAAAAGGUAAUAACGCACACUCACACUCUCAUACAAUACACACACACUUUCUUUCAACACACACGCACGCCCCACAGACUCUCAUACAACACAGGCAGACCACACACUCUCAUACAACACACACACACAUCACACACGCUUAUACAACAUACACACACCACACACACUCUCAUACAACACACACACAUGCCCCACACACUCUCAUACAACAUACACACAUAUCACACACGCUUAUACAACAUACACACACUCUCAUACAACACAAACACCACACACACUCUCAUAUAACACACCACAUACACUCUCAUACAACACACAAUCACACAUUGCACACUCUUAUACAAAACACACACUCAUACAACACACAUCACACAUCACACAUCACACACUCUUAUACAACAUACACACUCAUACAACACACAUCACACACUAUUAUACAACACACACUUACACAUCACACACUCUUAUACAACACACACACCAUACACACUCUCUUAUAACACACACACAUCACACACACUCUUAUACAACACACACUCACACAUCACACACUCGUAUGCAACACACACACACCCCACACACUCUCAUACAACACACACUCGCACAUCCCAAACUCUUAUACAACACACUUACACCACACACACUCUCAUAUAACAUAAACACUUUCCAACAACACACAACACACACUCUGAUACAACAAGCACACACCACAUACUCUUAUACAACACACACACACACUGUCAUACAACACACUUCCAUAUAACAUACACACUUUCCUACAACACACACACACCACAUACUCUUAUACAACACACACACACUGUCAUACAACACACUUUUAUAUAACAUACACACUCUCCUACAACACACACACACACCACAUACUCUUACAUAACACACACACAACACACAUUCUCAUACAACACACACACACACCACAUACUCUUAUAUAACACACACACAACACACAUUAUCAUACAACACACACACACACCACAUACUCUUAUACAACACACACACAAUGUAAUACAACACACUUUCAUAUAACAUACACACUCUCCUACAACACACACACCACAUACUCUUAUAUAACACACACACAACACACAUUCUCAUACAACACGCACACACCACAUACUCUUAUAUAGCACACAAACAACACACAUUAUCAUACAACACACACACACACACCACAUACUCUUAUACAACACACACACACACACUGUAAUACAACACACUUUCAUAUAACAUACAUACUCUCCUACAACACACACACCACAUACUCUUAUAUCACACACACACAACACACAUUCUCAUACAACACGCACACACCACAUACUCUUAUACAACACACACACACUGUCAUACAAAACACUUCCAUAUAACAUACACACUCUCCUACAACACACAAACCAAACAAACUCUCCUAUAACACACACUUUGCGAUCCAGUAAACAUGUUGCAGCGACCCAGUAAUGGGUCCUGACCCGUGGCAUGAAGAACCCUGAGAUAGAUAAUACAAUUUUAAAUUGCUUUCCAGUGUAUUUCUAUUAUUAAAU